AUGAAUUUUAUUACUGGAUUACCUCCUUCCUGUCCGUUUGAUUGCAUCUUUGUGGUCAUUGACAAGUUUACAAAAUAUGGCCAUCUCAUGGCCCUCAAACACCCCUUCUCUGCACAGAAAGUUGUUGAAGUGUUCUCAGACAAUAUUUACAAAUUGCAUGGAAUGCCAGAGUACAUUGUAUCGGACAAAGAUCCUGUGUUUACUAGCAAUUUUUCGCAAGCCCUGGUUCACAGGACUGGAACUUAG
rnacentral:rRNA from 1 species